CCCUUAGAUGUUCUGGGCCGCACACGCGCUACACUGAAGGAGGCAGCGUGUACUCCUGGAUCGAAAGAUUUGGGUAACCCGCGAAUCUCCUUCGUGCUAGGGAUUGAGGUUUGCAAUUAUCCUUCAUGAACGAGGAAUUCUCAGUAAGUGCAAGUCAUAAGCUUGCGCUGACUACGUCCCUGCCCUUUGUACACACCGCCCGUCGCUACUACCGAUUGAAUGAUUUAGUGAGGACUUCGGACUGGGACCGAUGCGGCUUUCGGGCUGCGUCGGUAUUCUGGAAAGAUGUCCAAACUGUAUCAUUUAGAGGAAGUAAAAGUCGUANCA
rnacentral:rRNA from 1 species